CAAAUUUUUAAUUCACCAAGAAACGAUGCAUAGAAAACGAUUCUCUGUAUCAGAAGACACUGAAUACAUUGGAACGAAUCCUGAUCCAUUUCUGAACGUUACAUUGGGCAAAGAGAUCUGGAAUAGGCAUUCUUACGUAAUCCAAGUGGAACGAGUCCUUUUCCGGACUCGAUUCUCGGAUCGUCCCUAAUGAUACGGACUAUCCGCCGCCAAUGAGACAUAAAUCGCUUAAUCAUCGUUACCGUACUCUCCAACAUUCCACCGUUUCUCGUUUCACUCAGUC
rnacentral:misc_RNA from 1 species